AUCCUCAGAGACUUUUGUGGUGAAGCUGUAUGGGGCCCUAGGCAACCUGAUCUUGCAUGCCCCUGUUCACUGCAGAAGAAUUGGAGUAGGUGGCCUUUAAAGGCCCCUUCCAACUCUAAGGAUUAUGUGAUUCUACAAAAAAUCCUUAAAUUCGUAAAUUAAAAAUUUUCAAACGUUGCUUCAAGAACAGAUCAGUGAAUAUUUUUCCCAUGCUGUGAUACAGUUGAUGUUCCAGGGGAAAGACUCCUGCUUAAUGUAGCAGUGCUAUUCUGAAGUCACAUCUGUGCGAAGAGCAGAAUUUGGGUCCACAGCUGUUUCUCCUGGUGCACUUUUAGUUCUGAGAGCAAAAUUGCUAAAGUUUUAGUUUGCUCAAAUAGUGUUUAUCAAAACGAAAGGAUUUAUUUGCUUUGACUGGCAAAGAGACUGUUAAUGAUGCUUCAGUCCCUACUGACUUGCAAAACAUAAGUGAUAGAAAAUUAGUCCAAAUACAGUUCAUAGAUUACUGAUGUGUUUGUUCACCCAUCACAAGUUUCUAGACCUGUUUGUGCUUUUCUUUCUACCAUUGCCUCUUUAACAUUCAGUUCUGUGUUUUUAAAUAAAAGAUGAAAAAAUCAGGCAACUCUUAGCAUUAGAAGCAGCUUCUCUUUGUGUUCGUGGAUAAUUUUGUCCAAACACCUCUGCACUUCACUAUCUCCUCUGUUUUUGUUUCUUAGAAAAGACUGUGAUGUCUUAAUUUCUCAUGGGGAAAAAACCCUCAGUAAAAUGAGUAACUCAUGUAUGCAGAAGUAGAUUAAAAUAUGAGCAGACAGGCUCCUGAAUUGUUGUGCGGGUCUUGGUGCCAACUUCUGGAAUAAUCUUCUGGAUUUAAAGCUGAAAAUAAAAACUUGUGCAAUUUCAGGCUUGCUAGAACAUGAAGACAGCUGUAAAAACAAGUGGAGAAGACUGUAGUAAAUGAUAACAAAAUGUGAUAGCUGUUUUCAGUCCCUGAGGACUCUAAAUGACUUUGCAUUCAUUCAGUCUCCUGCCAUAGCAGUUAUAUGGUUGUAGAAGUUCAAUGCUGAAUCUAUUCCUGUUCAGCAUUUGUUCACAAUAGUCUACAUGAGGAACUGGCUCCUUUUGGUCCUUUCUUUCUCCAGCAGGAAUCUGAUCAUCCUGGUAUUUCCAGAUGUCUGGACAAGACUUUAAAAAAUUCCAAAAGUCUUUGCUCCCUUGAUUAUGAAGACGAUGAUGAUGACACACAAAUGAAGACAAUUGUGUCAUCCCCAUGUGACUCAAAUGAUCUUAUGAACAUCAUCACCCCUGGUUCCAGUCCAAUGAAAGAACAGCUGGAUGAAGUAAGGCAUCACGGGUCAUGCCAAGG